rnacentral:rRNA from 1 species
GAUGAACGCUGGCGGCGUGCUUAACACAUGCAAGUCGAACGGAAAGGCCAGUGCUUGCACUGGUACUCGAGUGGCGAACGGGUGAGUAACACGUGGGUGAUCUGCCCUGUACUUCGGGAUAAGCUUGGGAAACUGGGUCUAAUACCGGAUAGGACAACUUUUUGGAUAUUGUUGUGGAAAGCUUUUGCGGUAUGGGAUGAGCUCGCGGCCUAUCAGCUUGUUGGUGGGGUAAUGGCCUACCAAGGCGUCGACGGGUAGCCGGCCUGAGAGGGUGUACGGCCACAUUGGGACUGAGAUACGGGCCAGACUCCUACGGGAGGCAGCAGUGGGGAAUAUUGCACAAUGGGCGCAAGCCUGAUGCAGCGACGCCGCGUGGGGGAUGAAGGCCUUCGGGUUGUAAACUCCUUUCGCUAGGGACGAAGCUUUUUUGUGACGGUACCUGGAGAAGAAGCACCGGCUAACUACGUG